AUACGUAGGUGACAAGCGUUAUCCGGAUUUACUGGGUGUAAAGGGCGUGUAGGCGGUUUAGCAAGUCAGAAGUGAAAUUCCCGGGCUUAAAUUGGGCACUGCUUCUGAAACUGCUUUACUUGAGUGCUGGAGAGGAUAGUGGAAUUCCUAGUGUAGCGGUAAAAUGCGCAGAUAUUAGGAGGAACACCGGUGGCGAAGGCGGCUAUCUGGACAGUAACUGACGCUGAGGCGCGAAAGCACGGGGAGCAAACAGGAUUAGAUACCCUGGUAGUCCGUGCCGUAAACGAUGAAUACUAGGUGUAGGGGGUAUCGACUCCCUCUGUGCCGCAGUUAACACAUUAAGUAUUCCACCUGGGGAGUACGGCCGCAAGGUUGAAACUCAAAUGAAUUGACGGGG
rnacentral:rRNA from 1 species